UAGGGAAUCUUCGGCAAUGGACGAAAGUCUGACCGAGCAACGCCGCGUGAGUGAAGAAGGUUUUCGGAUCGUAAAACUCUGUUGUUAGAGAAGAACAAGGACGUUAGUAACUGAACGUCCCCUGACGGUAUCUAACCAGAAAGCCACGGCUAACCACGUGCCAGCAGCCGCGGUAAUACGGAGGUGGCAAGCGUUGUCCGGAUUUAUUGGGCGUAAAGCGAGCGGAGGCGGUUUCUUAAGUCUGAUGUGAAAGCCCCCGGCUCAACCGGGGAGGGUCAUUGGAAACUGGGAAACUUGGGUGCAGAAGAGGAGAGUGGAAUUCCAUGUGUAGCGGUGAAAUGCGUAGAUAUAUGGGGGAACACCAGUGGCGAAGGCGGCUCUCUGGUCUGUAACUGACGCUGAGGCUCGAAAGCGUGGGGAGCAAACAGG
rnacentral:rRNA from 1 species